ACUCAGCUGACGAGUCUCAAAUUGGACGAAACGCGUGUCAAACUGCAU
rfam:Schistosoma mattheei strain Denwood, Zambia genome assembly, scaffold: SMTD_contig0001932